UACGUAGGGUGCAAGCGUUGUUCGGAUUUACUGGGCGUAAAGGGCGCGUAGGCGGUCAGCACAAGUCAGUUGUGAAAUCUCCGGGCUUAACUCGGAAAGGUCAACUGAUACUGUGCGACUAGAGUGCAGAAGGGGCAACUGGAAUUCUCGGUGUAGCGGUGAAAUGCGUAGAUAUCGAGAGGAACACCUGCGGCGAAGGCGGGUUGCUGGGCUGACACUGACGCUGAGGCGCGAAAGCCAGGGGAGCGAACGGG
rnacentral:rRNA from 1 species